UACGUAGGGUGCGAGCGUUAAUCGGAAUUACUGGGCGUAAAGCGUGCGCAGGCGGUUGCUGAAGUCCGUUGUGAAAGCCCCCGGGCUUAACCUGGGAAUGGCAGUGGAAACUAGGCGACUUGAAUCUGGCAGAGGGGGGGUGGAAUGCCACGUGUAGCAGUGAAAUGCGUAGAGAUGUGGCGGAACACCGAUGGCGAAGGCAGCCCCCUGGGUCAAGAUUGACGCUCAGGCACGAAAGCGUGGGGAGCAAACAGG
rnacentral:rRNA from 1 species